CAAGUCCUGAUUUGCUCUCUCUGCGGUUUUUUUGUUCGGUUUUUGUUCAACAUGAAAUAUUUUCCUUCAAUGAGUGUCGCAUAAAUGCAAGCCUUGGUGUUUGCAGACAGUCAUGGAAACUCAGUUGAUAGUGUACAGAACAUCCGAACAAAAUUUCUCUUAAGGGUCUGCUUACUGGCCAAGAUCGGGUGAUAGUGGGGAAGUUACAACAAAUGAUCUGCUUCUAGGCAUUUGGUCAGAAGUGGAAUCCCCCGGCCACAGGAUACUUGUUUCCCUCGGCUUCAAUGAUGAGAAAGCCAAAGAACUUGAGGCUUCAAGUUGUGGACCUGGGUUUCUUGAUGGAUGAUACCUUCCACGUUCUUGAUGACCAUUGAUGUAAUUUUUGUAUUUGGACAGGGCUGUUUUGAGCUCCUUGACUGAAAUUGCAAACCCCACAAUUCAUGGAUGGCCGUGUAAGUGUAUUCUGCUCAGAUAUGUUCAUUGAAUGCUGGACAAGGAAUCCUCUUAUAUUGAAUCUUCAAAAUGUUGCACUUUUUUUUUUCCGGCUUCAGAAACCUCUUUCUCACAACCCAUUUCAUUAUAUGAUGAAACUAUCUAAAGACCGAAUCGUAAUUGGCCUUCCUUUAAGAACUGAUCUGAUGCAACCAGGAGUUGAAAUUUGGAGUGAUUUAUGAACAGUGAAUUGAUGAAAUGAUGACACUGAAUUGCCGAAAG